GCGGGCGUGGCGGAAAUGGCAGACGCGCUAGACUUAGGAUCUAGUGAUUAGUUUCGUGCAGGUUCAAGUCCUGUCGCCCGCACCA
rnacentral:tRNA from 1 species